UACAGAGGUCUCAAGCGUUGUUCGGAUUUAUUGGGCGUAAAGAGCGUGUAGGCGGCUUUACAGGUCCGUUGUGAAAACUCGAGGCUCAACCUCGAGACGCCGGUGGAAACCGUAAGGCUAGAGUCCGGAAGAGGAGAGUGGAAUUCCUGGUGUAGCGGUGAAAUGCGCAGAUAUCAGGAGGAACACCCGUGGCGAAAGCGGCUCUCUGGGACGGUACUGACGCUGAGACGCGAAAGCGUGGGGAGCAAACAGG
rnacentral:rRNA from 1 species